GGUAAAAUGGCUGAGUAUAGGUAAUAAAUUGUAAAUUUAUUUAGGAAUUGAAUUCUUUUACCA
rnacentral:tRNA from 1 species